UACGUAGGUGGCAAGCGUUGUCCGGAUUUACUGGGCGUAAAGCGUGCGCAGGCGGUCUAUUAAGACAGGUGUGAAAUCCCCGGGCUUAACCUGGGAACUGCGCUUGUAACUGAUAGGCUUGAGUGUGGCAGAGGGGGGUGGAAUUCCAGGUGUAGCAGUGAAAUGCGUAGAUAUCUGGAGGAACACCGAUGGCGAAGGCAGCCCCCUGGGCUAACACUGACGCUCAUGCACGAAAGCGUGGGGAGCAAACAGG
rnacentral:rRNA from 1 species